GGGAGGGGAACCAGUAGGUUUCAUAACGGAAAUACGGAGUCUCAUCGUUUCCAUUUUCCGAGGCGGAAGAGGCUACUUCAGUUUCAGGCCCGUCCAGCCGAGCAGACCCGGGCCUCCUGAAAGUCGCAGAUUCUGGCUCUGUGGGAGGUCCUUCUGGAAACAGCACACACAGAGCUCAGCCGUGAAGCUCCUGGGAGGAAGGCGAGGGGGCCCGGUCCUUCCGGACACUAUUGUUUCCUCUAAAUACUUCAUUCCCCCCCAGGUUCAGGAGGCGGCAUUGUAGGGGACACCUGCUCUUUUCAUCUGCCAGAAUCCCAUCCAACACUCAUUUGGGGAGAGCAUCCCCCUUCCAAUGGGGAAUAAUCCUCUGUGACUCAGGGAUCUCCAGUGGGGCUGCCACUCCCAGCAUUCCACGCCCCUGGCUGUGGGGUGGCUGCACAAUCAGGACUGGCCACAGAUGUUCUCUCCCUGUUCCUGACCACAUUAACUGCACUACGGAUGGACAUGUGACUUGAACCAGUUCAAGCAGAAAUCCAUGCCUGACCUGCAGUGGUCUGAUGGUGGCCAUGCGUACCUUCUCCCCUGUGGCCUGGAGGACCACUUCUCUGGUUGCCAGGUGCAAGCCACGUGUCCACCUGAAUCAGGAUGCAGCUGACGCGAGCUAGAUCUCAUGGACAGAAACUGGAGAAGGAGUUGUAUAAGAAAGCCAGAGGAAAGCAG
rnacentral:lncRNA from 1 species